AGUGGAGGAGGUUCAAUUAGGGUUUCGCAAGAGCUGUGUUCAUUUUAUUCUAUAAAUAGCCUCAAUAUCCCUCAUUACCUUCCAUCGCAGACUUCUACGGCUUUUGUAUAUCUACUUGUCUACUUUUCAGAUUAGGGUUUUUGAAAUUUUAUAGCGAGUUCUUCAUUGAGCAAUUCAGUUUGAAAUUUACUUGCAAUUUUAGUAGUCCAUCGUAUUUUUAGUUUUGUCAUGCCAUGAUGAAAUCUAUUUGUGUGCCAGAGACGAGUCUCUUUGGAGCUCGUCUUUGAUGGUAACACAACCCUCUAAGAAGUUCUGAGCUGACACUUAGAUUUUUCUGCUGUUUUAUCAUGUAUUUUCUUUUAUUUAUCAAGUUAUGGGCGAUUAAGGCGAGGUGACGAUAGAAAUUCAUUGGUCUGUCAAUCCACUGAAUUUUGUGAUGUUAACAUGAAUCCCGACAGGUUCUGAUCGCUUUCUACUCUUCAAGCUCGACAUUGUUUUUUUUAAUAAAAAACUUAUUGGUUUUGGGGGUUCUAUUUUGGCAAUUUGAUUUGGGAUGGGUCUUUAUAUUUUUGGGAGUUCAAUUGUGGAAUGGAAUUAAUUUCUGCCUUGCUAAUCUUUGUUUAUGGAAUUAAGGAAGGAUUUGUGUAAUUGGGCAGGUGAUGAAUCUCAUAUUUUUAAUGGGUAAUUUGCGUCUGAAUUAUUUCAUUGAUGCUAUAUCACCUUGGAGACCUGAUGCCCUUAUCUGCUUUAUUACCAAUCUGAUAUGUUUACCAGUUCAAUUCGGUCUUAUUUAUUGAUGCAAAUACUUUCUUCAUUUAUUUCUGUCUUCUUUGUUGUUUGCAAUCUUGUGUUUGUUGGAAUGAUUUGAGUACUGAAGAUUGCGUCGAUUAGAGAAGUGAUGGACAAAUUUUUGUUGACUAUAGCAUUGUGACCCAAUCCUUUACCGUUCCAUCUAAUGCCUUUGUUAUAAUCUUUCCUUCAUAUCACAGUUGUUAAGGCAUUUGUGGGUGAAAGUGGGUUAUGGGUUUUCGGCUGUACCCCAUUUGCUUGAUUUCAACUAGUUUGGUAUUAAGAUUUGGUUAUUUUUAUACAUUAAAGUGCAAUGAUGGUUUUGUGUGUGUUGGUGAUCUUUGGAUGUUGAAGAGAUGGAAUUGAUGAAUAUUUCCCCAAAUGAUCGAAGCUGAGCAAACUGAGCGAUCUUUCUCUAUUGAGAACCAAGCCAGAAUUCUGAUCCAUUCUUUGACAUGAAUUUUGCAAAGUGACAUAUUCUGUGUUAUGUUUAGCAAAUUGAUGCAUUCUAUUCUGUGUUUGCUGUUCUGUUUCUUUUAGCAAUCGUUAUAGUCACUUUUCAGGGUUCAGUUUUUAAGGUGGUGAUUGGUUAUGAUCUUUGAUACAAAUGAUUAUUUCGCUGCAAUAAGGACAUGCAUAGCGGAUGGUGAUCAAUCUGUUGUUUUGAAUAGCCAAUUUCAAGCACAUGGUUAACCUUGUGCACGUUGAACUUGGUUAAAUUUCAGUGUUUUGCCAAAUUAAACUUUGAGUGCUGUGAUACUUUUUAUUGUUGUGUGUGUGAGUGACGUUUGAAUAUAGAAGAGAUGGACUUGAUGAAUAUUUCCCCAAAUGAUCAAAGCUGAACAAACUGAGCGAUCUUUCUCUCUUUGAGAACCAAGCCAGAAUUCUGAUCCAUCCUUAAGCAUAGAUUUUCCCAAAUUGAUAUAUACUGUGUUUGUUAACCUGUUUUCUUUAGCAAAUUGAUAUAUUCUGUGUUAUUGAACUUGAUAUAUUGUGUGUAGUGAAAUUGAUCUAUUCUGUGUUUUAUGGUGUACUCAAAUCCCUGGUAGGAAAGUGGAUCCUAUAAAAAGAAAAUUUGAAUGACAUUCACCUAUAUGUGUUAUGGGUCCAUAAUGGUCUGGGUCCAGCUAAGUUCUUUCCUCUAUUGUUACUGGGAUUCUUAAGAGAACAGGAUUAUUUCCUUGUGAUCAGCAGUUGGAUAAAAGGAGUGAUGAAAUUGCAAUGAUUGAAAGUAAUGGCUAAUGUACUUAUGCGCGCCUUAUGGAGGCGGGGUGGAAUUUACGAUGUGUGAUUUAUAGGAUUAUAACAAUUGAAGUAUUUGCAGCA